GAUGAACGCUGGCGGCGUGCUUAACACAUGCAAGUCGAACGGUGAAGCAGAGCUUGCUCUGUGGAUCAGUGGCGAACGGGUGAGUAACACGUGAGCAACCUGCCCCUGACUCUGGGAUAAGCGCUGGAAACGGCGUCUAAUACUGGAUAUGAGCUGCGACCGCAUGGUCAGCAGUUGGAAAGAUUUUUCGGUCUGGGAUGGGCUCACGGCCUAUCAGCUUGUUGGUGAGGUAAUGGCUCACCAAGGCGUCGACGGGUAGCCGGCCUGAGAGGGUGACCGGCCACACUGGGACUGAGACACGGCCCAGACUCCUACGGGAGGCGGCAGUGGGGAAUAUUGCACAAUGGGCGAAAGCCUGAUGCAGCAACGCCGCGUGAGGGAUGACGGCCUUCGGGUUGUAAACCUCUUUUAGCAGGGAAGAAGCGAAAGUGACGGUACCUGCAGAAAAAGCGCCGGCUAACUACGUG
rnacentral:rRNA from 1 species